GGAAUACAGUAAGUUGAUCACCAAUUUUCUAGACAAAGAGACUAUGAUCUAAUUGAGAUUGCAAAUAGCCAAGAGAAACAAGAGCUUGUGAAAGCUUAGAAUACCAUUGCCUGCUAGCUUGCUUAUGCCCAUGUAAUGAUUUUUGCAAAUGACACACUUGGUUGGACUUGGAAGAAGUGAAACCUGGAGGCAAUUCCAUAUAUACCUUCUCAUGUAAUUCACCAUGAAGGAAGGCAUUAUUGACAUCUAGCUGCUGUAAGUGCCAAUUGUUUGCAGCUGCAAGUGCCAGCAGUAGCUUGAUAGCAGUAAUUUUUGCCACUGGUGAGAAAGUGUCAAGGUAGUCAACUCCUUCGGUCUAUGUGUAUCCUUAGCUACCAAACGGGCCUUGUAUCUUUCAAUUGUCCUAUCAGCCUUUCUUAAAAUUCUAAAGACCCGUUUGCAUCCUAUUGCACUCUUGCCAGGAGGAAGAUCACAACCCAAGUAUGAUUUUGUUAAAGGGCAAGUAUCUCGGCAUGCAUAGCCUGUUUCCAGCACUCAAAUUGGAUUGCUUGAUUAUAAGUUUUAGGCUCAGUUGUGAUAGAAAUAGAGAGAGUAAAGUGUAUAUGUGAUGUAGACAAAUUAGAAUAAGAAAUAACAGAAGACAAAAGAUAAAGUGAACCUGAGGAAUGAUGAUUGAUGUUAGCAUGAAUAAGGUUGCAAUGAUAAUCCUGUAAGUAGGUUGGUGGUUUUUUUUGAUACGUUGAGAAUGUCUAAUAGGAGGAGAAGGAGCAGGUGUGUAAGAAGAGCAUGGAGAAGUAGGCAAAACAACAGGAAGUGAUGAAGAAGGAAAAAUAUCAGUAUGAGGUUCAGAAUAAUCUUGAGGAACAAAAGGAAUAAAAUGAGCAGAAGGAGAAGCAAGAGGAAAAAUACUUUCAUGAAAUGUAACAUGUCUAGAAACAAAUAUAUUUCGAGAAUGAAGGUCUAGUAAAACGAAUCCUUUAGUGCCUUGCUUGAAACCAAGAAAAACACAUUUCUUAGCUUUAGGGUCAAAUUUUGACCUAUGAGCAGUAUGUGUCGAUGCAAAGCAAAGUGAUCCAAAAACUUUAAGAUUAUUA
rnacentral:misc_RNA from 1 species